UGUUUAAAGCUAUGAUUGAUGCCCA
rnacentral:piRNA from 1 species